rnacentral:lncRNA from 10 species
GAUUCAUGCAAGGCCCUCGGGUGAGGGACUGUCGAUCCCGACAGCCAUGCCAGCGCAGGGCCAAGAAAGAAUGUCCUGGAAGGGUGGGGAUGGGUUGGGCUUUCUGAACCCUCCCACCUCAGGAAGGCAAAAGACACAGAUCACAGGCAGCAAGGGGCUGCCAUUUCUGAUGCUUAUACCCUCCACGGUGGCUACAGGAGCCCGCACCAGCAGUGGGAGGAGCAACAUUCCAGAAGCUGCUUCUCUCUGCACCGAUGCAGAAACUGUGCCUGCCAGAUAGUAAUGAUCCAGCCGAGGGCACCAGGCUACAAUUUGCAGAACUGGACUGAAGAAUGGCUGACAUAGCCAGCUGCAGUGGCUCAUGCUUGUAAUCCCAACAGUUUAGGAGGCCAAAGCAGGAGGAUCACUUGAAGUCAUGAGUUCAAGACCAGCCUGAGCAACAUGGCAAGACCCCAUCUCUAUAAAAAAUACAAUAAUUAGCAGGGCAUGGUCGCACAUGUCUGUAGUCCCAGCUGCUUGGUAGGCUGAGGCGGAUGGAUCAUUUCAGCCCAGGAGGCAAGACUGCAGUGAGCCAUGAGUAUGCCACUGCACUCCAGCCUGGGUGACAAAAGAAAAAAAAAAUAGAAUGGAUGAUAUAAACUUUAUUGUUUACUGUGGGGUUGCGGUGGGGGGAGGCGUUAGUUCGUUCUUCUUUCUCUCAAUACCUUUACAAAGUCUCUGUUUCAAAAGAGAGCGCAGAUUAUGCCUGCUACCCCAAGUCCUGAGUCAGAAUUCAAAGGCAAAUAUGGUAGGGUGAUGAGGCAGAAAGGACUUAGGCAGCAGGAGAGCUGUGAUUGGUGGAAGGGGCAGGCAGGAAGAGUUUGGGUUUGGAGACACUGGUUGCUGAGUCAGAACUCCAGCUCUGUCAUUGCCUGUGUGACUUUGGGCAAGUUACAUGUGAUUGUUGGAGCUUCCAUUUCAUUUGCUAAAUAAUUGGGAUCAUAAUACAUACAACGUGGAGUUGUUAGGAUGUCACGAGAGAAUGCACAAGAACUAUUCAUGGACCAACCCUACUCCCAAAUGACAUGGAUGUGGAGCUUUUAGCACCAUCGAAAUAACUCAAUGAAAAAAGUACAUAACUUUGUUGUGAGCUCUUCCAAAAACCUGCACCAUUGAGCCUGGCAAUGAAGAAGGUGGCAGCCAGACUGAAGGGAAGAGGGGCUGCAAGACUUGGAGUUGGUGAUGGCAACCCUGGAGAGGAAAGGAACAUGGCCAAGAGGUUGGGAUUCAUGCUAGAUCAAGAAGGAAGAACCCAGAAGCAGCCCAGAGGCUUCACAGCUACAUAAGAAAAAAAAGGGGGCCAGGCACGAUGCCUCAUGCCUGUAAUCCAGCACUUUGGGAGCCUGAGGCGGGUGGAUCACGAGGUCAGGAGUUCGAGAGCAGCCUGACCAACACAGUGAAACCCUGUCUCCACUGAGAAUACAAAAAUUAGCCAGGCAUGGUGGCACACGCCUGUAAUCCCAGCUACUCAGGAGGCUGAGGCAGGAGAAUCCAGGAGGCGGAACUGCGGUGGGCAGAGAUCACGCCACUGUACUCUAUUCUGGGUGACAGAGUAAGACUCCAUCUCAAAAAAAAAAAAAGGAUGUGACUAUUGCCAAAACCAACUUGUAAAACAUCACCAUGAUAUGUCACCAAGCUACCUACGAGAUGCUGGGCAUACCUUCGGUGGAAGAAAGAAACAGCUAUACAACUUUGGGUUGCUUCAUUUUUCUCUUGCAUUUCUAGUUCAGGUUGGUUUUGGUGUUCUGUUGUUGUUGUUGUUUUGCAUUCCAAAAAAAAUAAAAAAUAA